rnacentral:tRNA from 1 species
GACCUCGUGGCUCAGCUGGUAGAGCGUGCGCUGUAAAAAGCGAAGAAGGCGUUCAUGCGUGGGUUCGAAUCCCACCGUGGUUA